rnacentral:rRNA from 1 species
GACGAACGCUGGCGGCGUGCUUAACACAUGCAAGUCGAACGAAGUGGCGAACGGGUGAGUAAUACGUGGGUAACCUGCCCUCCUUUUUGGGAUACGCCUUGGAAACGGGGUCUAAUACCGAUUAAAGGGGGAUGGGCUCGCGGCCUAUCAGCUUGUUGGUGGGGUGAUGCCCUACCAAGGCUGUGACGGGUGGCCGGCCUGAGAGGGGAACCGGCCACAUAGGGACGGAGAUACGGCCCAGGUGAGGACGCGAGGCAGAAGUGGGGGAUAUGGGCCAAGGGGUGAAAGAGUGAUGCAGCGACGCCGCGUGGGGGAUGAAGGCUUUCGGGUUGUAAACCUCGGUCGCUAGCGAACGGGUAGGUGGAGAAGAAGCGCCGGCUAACUACGUGCCAGCCGCCGCGGUAAUUC